rnacentral:rRNA from 1 species
UCGGGAAUUUUGGGCAAUGGGCGCAAGCCUGAUCCAGCCAUGCCGCGUGUGUGAAGAAGGUCUUCGGAUUGUAAAGCACUUUAAGUUGGGAGGAAGGGCAGUUACCUAAUACGUGAUUGUUUUGACGUUACCGACAGAAUAAGCACCGGCUAACUCUGUGCCAGCAGCCGCGGUAAUACAGAGGGUGCAAGCGUUAAUCGGAAUUACUGGGCGUAAAGCGCGCGUAGGUGGUUAGUUAAGUUGGAUGUGAAAUCCCCGGGCUCAACCUGGGAACUGCAUUCAAAACUGACUGACUAGAGUAUGGUAGAGGGUGGUGGAAUUUCCUGUGUAGCGGUGAAAUGCGUAGAUAUAGGAAGGAACACCAGUGGCGAAGGCGACCACCUGGACUGAUACUGACACUGAGGUGCGAAAGCGUGGGGAGCAAACAGGAUUAGAUACCCCCGUAGUCCCUGAGCGGGCUGGCAAGGCGCAU